rnacentral:sRNA from 1 species
CUAGUUGAUGAAUAAAUAAGUUUAUGCGGUCAGUAGAACCGAAAUUUUCUCGAUUUGCUUUGGUUCGUUCUGUUCAAAGUUGUGAUUUGAUUCAACACUAUCUCUAU